rnacentral:ncRNA from 2 species
AUAGUCACUGGUGGUGGAGUUCGCCGUUAACCGCUGUUGUCACAGCCAAUGACUCCUGUAUAAGA